AUCCCAGGUUAAACUUUAGCCAGCCGUCCAGGUAGCAACUCGAUACACACUUUGUUAAAAGGAUCCUGAAACCUAACACAGAGCCUCUGCAGACAGUGAUAAGAGGCUUGGAGAGGCGGGAGAGGGACGGUGUGCAGGCACGGACUCCGGUUGACAUCGGGAGCACUUAUCAGUAGACGGGCAGGGUAGAUUGCGCCCAGAAGUACCUGAAAUUAAGUGAUGCUCACGGAAGACACCCACCUUGAACUCAGAAGCCCCGAACGAGCUCUGUGUGGCCCGGAGGAGGUCUCCAUUUUAUAUGGAUCUUGGGAAUCCUGGCAAGUCCAUGCAGAAGGGACAUGGCGUGAAUGAGUCCCUAAGUGAGUUCAGUCCCCACUUUGAUACUAAUCACGUGGGUUAGUCGGCCUCUCUGGGUCUGCUUCCGUGAAACAGAAAGCUGUGCAGUAGAGUGCUUGAGAGUGGGUCUUAGAUCUCAGAUAGACUGGAUUUCCAGUCUUCACUCAGCCACUUGCUAAUGCUUUGAUCCUGUGUGCUAUUUUUCUCAUUGUGACCCAGUCCGUGACCCAAGUUAAGGGACAAAGGGUUUGCUUUGUUCGUGGUUUCAGGGCCCUCAGUCCAUGGCAGCUUGGCCUCACGCAUUUGUGUAGAGCAUCCUGUGGGUAGGAGCCUGUGGUGGUGGCUCUUUUUCACUUGGGAGACGGCAAGCCAAGAGAAUGUGUCCAGGGACAGGCCAGGGUGACCCACCAAAGACAAGUUCCUAGUGACUUGCUUUCUCCAACUACGCCUUAACUACCUUCCACACAUCCUGAUAUGACCAUCAAUCGUGUAUCCAUUCAGGAAUGAAUCCAUCUUUAGGCCAGAGCCCUCAGGACCAGCUAGCCUCUGGAGAGGGCCUCUCAGAGACACCCAGAAGUGUGCUUGACUAACCCGCUAGGUGGGUCUAUUGUUUGAGCCAAUCAAAUUGAUAAUCAAAAUUACCCAUUAUUCUUGGGUAAAUCCUCCUAGUGCUCGACUGAAGGCAUUGCAGGUAGGAAGGCUGUGAGGACAGAGCUGGGCUCCUAAUAAGUGAGAGACAAAAGAUGCUUUGUGCUUGAGGAUGACUGAGCCAGCUAGCCAACCCCCUCCACCCCAAUCCUCCACCCCCCACCCCCCACCUUGGCAUGCAGGACCAACUGGUAGAGAAAAAGAACCAAGUGGUGAAAUUUAAUUAGGGUUUUGGUUUUGUGUGAUGUCAGACAUUCAAGAGUCUCGGGGUUUGCUGGCAAAGGUGGAUGGGAGACCUGAGUUUGAGCAAUGGGUCAAGGGUCAUUGUCCUGCUGCUCUCAGACCUGGGCCCCAAUGUUCAUCGCAGGAGACCCAGAUAUCACAGUAGAGCAGACAGAUAAGGGAGAGCAAGGGAUGAUGGUUCGUACCUUGCUAGCUGCUCAGGAAGGAGAGCCUACUCUACGGUUGGUAGCCCAAAGCUUGUGGUUCUGACCUAGCCAGUGCACCUGGCCCUUCCUGCACUUCCUCGAGGCCGGGGAGGAGCCGAGAACCCCCAGGUCAGCUGAUGCUCUAGGACAAGGGACCGAAGCAGGGUUAGAGAGGUCUCUGCAAGGGUCUCUUCCAGGAGAGAGCACAGAGCACAGCCCAGAGAGAGGUGUGGCAUGAGCGGAAGGUCUGCUACCUUCAGAUUAACCUCCUCUGUGAAUGAUGUUUGGUGUUGGGGCUUUUGGGAAGCCAGCAGGUCAGGGUAGGUGAAGUCCGUAGGAGGGAGGAUGCCCUUUUAAGGAGCGGUAGACAGGUUUAUCUCCUUUCUCCCGGAAGCCAAUGGUGGAACACCUGAAGCUUUGAGUGCCAAGAUGUCUAGCAAUCCAAACGAGUUAAUGAUCUCAGUAAAAUGAAACAGGAGGUCUAUGACCCAAAAGGUCACCCAGGGCAAAGACCUCUCUCCUCUCCGCGGCCUUUUUUACCGGCUCCCAUCAGGACUUUGGGACUUUCUGGUCAAACUCUUCCCUGUUUUUUUUACCAACACACUCUACAUUUUCGAGCAGGCCUUUGUGGGGGCAGGGAAGAAGAGCAGAGCCUGUGGCUGGGGUCUCAGCCAGACAGGCCCGAGGGCUGGGUGAAGGUGGAACACCGAGUCUCUGGAGAAGAGGUGAUUUCUGAGAAUGAGGCACGAGAAGCGGCUUUCUGUUCUGACGAUAAAAUAGACAAGCCCUCAGAAGAGUGGGUAAUUAGAGAUCUUCAAGGCCGCCUCUCCUGGUAACAGGAGACAGCUGCUUCUAGCCACCGCAUGAGUGCUUUGGACCCCUCGGAGAAAAGGAAAAGUGGGCAGACACCCACAGGCCUGUGUGGGGAUCAUUGGCACAAGGCCUUGGCCUGGACCAUGAAUCCGUUCCUAUUGUUGAUGCAAAGCGGGGAGGUAUUGGGUGAGGAGGGGAAGCUGGGGUUUAUGUAAGCAAGUCCUUUCCACAUUUGUGACCCGCUUCGGACUCCAGUGUUUGCUUCACAGAUGACGAACCCGAGGUUCAAGAGAUUAUCAUCUGCUUUAGGAAGUACUUAAGAUAUGAUUAUGUCCCAGCUCUGGAAAACUAGACUCUUUCCCUUCAAGGUAUGGUGGCAGAUGAUGGCCACACUCUCUCCUGUUCCAUGUGUGCAUUUGAUAUUCCUUCUAUUGACGUGGUACCCGAAAGUCUGAAUUUGUUUGUUUGUUUGUUUUGAGACAGUAUCUAUCUCCCUGUGUAGCCCCGGUCAACUCGAAACUCCCUAUGUAGACCAGACUGGCUUCAAACUCGCAGAGAUUUGCUUGCCUCUGCCUCCCAAGUGCUGGGACUAAAGGCACAUAUCACCAGGUCCUGCCAACGUCUGUGUUUCAAGAGUCUGCAGAAUCGUCUAAGAUAUGUGUGCAGAUCUCUGAUGCCAGAGACCGAGUCUGUUUCUGUCUUGGACACGUAGAAGUUCAAAACGUUCUGGAGGAAUUGAAGUGAUUUAUAACGAUAUUUGUAUCCAGAGUUUGUCAAAGAGAGCUGGUCAACCAAGCUUUCAACAAUGGGCGACGAGAAGCACACAAUCAACACCUGGCAGAAGAAGCAUCUGGAAGUUACCUCCUGGACAAAUAUGGUGACUGGGGAAGCCAGCUCUAGUCCCAGAGCUCUGAGAGUAUGGGCAUUCAGGCUGAGCAGCUGUGGCGUUCGAACACCAGCUGUGUUCUGUUUCUCUCAACCCUACUACCUAGACUUGCAAUCUGUACACACUGCAGGCAGAGCCAGUGCGUUUACGUACCGGGGCAGGCAUUUUGUCCGGGCUUAGGGGAAGAAGGUCUUUGUUACCAGGUGUACUGGUGAGAUUGUAUUGUUGACCUGACACAAAUCAGAGUCACUUGGGAAGAGGGACCCUCAAUGGAGAAAUUGCCUCCAUCCUAUUGAUGUGUGGGCGUGUCUGUGGGCAAUUUGCCUUGAUUGAUGACUGAUGAGAGCCCGGCUCACUGUGGGCGGUGUUGUCCCUAGGCCCAGCUCCCAAAUAAAUCACACACAGAGAUUUAUUCUUAGUUAUGAAUGACUGGCCUUAACUUGGCUUGUUUCUUGCCAGCUUUUCUUGUCUUAUGUUAUCCAGUCUACCUUUUGCCUCUGGUCUUUUAUCUUUCCCUUCUGUAAAUCCGACUUUGACUCUUACUCCGUGGCUGCUGCUGGGUGACUGGGUGGCUGGCCACCUGUGUCCUCCUCUCCUUGUUCUUGGGCCCCUCUUCUCUCUCCUCCCAGAGUUCCCCUUGUAUUUACACUCUUCUCGCUAGCCCCACCUAUUCUUGUUUCUGCCUCGCUAUUGGGCACUCAGUUCUUUAUUAGAACCAUCAGGUGUUUCAGACAAAGAAUCACAGCUUCAUGGUUCCUCAAAUGCAGCGUAGACAAAAGUCACACACCUGAAAACUACAUUCCCCAACACUCUGUGGUCUCCAAUUCAGUUCAUGCUUCCAGGUUUCUGCCUCAGGUUCUGGUCUUGGUUUCUCCUAAUAUGGACUUGUAAUCUCUGAGUCAAAGAAACGCUUUCCUUCUCAAGUUGCUUCCGGUCAGCCUGUUUUAUCACAGCAGCGGAAAGCAAGCUAGAAAACUAGGGAAUGUAACGUAGAAGAAAAGAGAUCUGGAGCUGUCUGAGAUCGAGAAGGUUCCGAUCUCCUAUGUGGAUUCCCGUUCAUGAUAGUCCCAGCGGAAGUAUGUUCUCUUAUCUGUCUUCUCCAAGGCUUGCUCCUUUCUGGUGUUCCUAAGACUGGAUCUCUCUCAAUCAUUUCUGCCCAAGAACUUGUUAUGAUAGUUUGUUUGUGUUCUGACAAAUAAAGCUUGUCUGAAAAUCUA